UAACAAGUUUUCUUUAAGGGACAUGUCAUUCUGUGACUAAUAUAUAAAUAAGGGGGAAAAGUUUGAGGUAGUGGGACUCUUCGGGACUGGACUCUCCCUCUGGAUGCAUCUUGUGUUUCCCACCAGCAGACAGGCUGCCGCUGUGCUACUCGAGAGCCACACUCAGCUUCGAUACAAAUUAACUAUAUGAAGUAGCACCCAUAUGCAGGAGAUGGUGGAAUCUGGAAAAGAGAGCUGCAAGUGCAAGCAACAGGUGGAUGUCUAUUACAUUUCUCCUACUAGAAGAAAGCCAUGAACACUUAAAUGAUACCUACCAUAUGAAAAGAUUUUCCAGUUACAAGUCCACAUGACAAAAUGAAGGCCUCUCCGUUGCUCAUGCCAUAUUUGAAGCACACAGAAACCCAACCUCUUUUAUAGUCCCCACACAUUCAUUGAUUAAUAAUCAAUAAAAAAAUAUUUCUGACUCAUCUAA